GAAGAAACUAUCUUAAGCUGCUAACUUAAGAACGAGUAAUAAUAUAUUCUUUCUUCU
rnacentral:tRNA from 1 species